rnacentral:lncRNA from 1 species
CACGCCAUUUACCAAUCCAUAAUUCAAUCUCAAUCAAUUCCAAUCAAUUUAGAGUAAAUCUCUAAAAUAUCACAAUUUAUUUAAUUCCAUACAACGUAGAGCUCAAAUAAAUAAACGGACUGCGCCACGACGAUCAGCACGAGAUUUCGGUCGUCGGCCAUCAAAAUCUUAAUUUCCGAAAAAUAAUUUAUUAAUAUUAAAAAUUCAAUUUAGCUCAAAAUAAAGCCUGAUUAAAUAAACGGACUUCACCACAGUUAUCAGCAUAAAAUUCCGAUUCCGGACCAUCUCAGUUGAAUUUUCGGAAAAUAAAUAAAUAAUUAAUUUAAUUCCGAAAAAUAAUAUUUAAAUGCCAAAAAUCACACUUAGGCCCGAAUCGCCAAAUUGAAGCCCGAUUAGGGAUCGGAAAAUUCCCGAGACACUUCCAAUAAAUAGUAGACCACGUCUACUUGCUAAUUGCACAAUCAAUUUAUCUAAAUCACAUCACAAUUGACUAAUAAUUGCUAAUUUAUUCUAAUCUAACAACCUAAACAUAAUUAAUUAAAUCUAAACCAACCAUAAGCAUAAUUAGCCAACUAAUCCAAGAUUAGUGAGAUUACUCACCAAAUCGCGCGCAAAUCGGAUCAAUCCGACGGCGGCGGCGCGAGGAACGAUUGUCCCCAAAGCACGGCUCGGGUUCGGGGCCCGGAAACGGCCCAAAACGAGUCCGAACCAGCUGGAAACCCAUUUCCUGCACUCUCUGUGCGCGGCUGAUUAAGGGCGAAGGAAGGCGGAUCCGAAGCUUGGUUGGGUCGGAAAUGGACGGAGGGGUCGAACCGAACCAAGGCGAGGCUUCACGGUGGCCGGAGGAUGGGUGGACAGCUCCGGCGGAGCUCCACCAGAUCUGAAGCUUCGCUGAAACAGAGGGCUGAGCGAGGGAGAGGCCGAGGCAGGCGGAGCACGGGACGGCGAACGGCGAGGCGACGCGGGCCGGGAACGGCGUGUGGCGGCGAGGCGGCGUGCGGCGCGACUGUAGCUCCUUCAAGCAACGCCGAUCGUUGCUUCUGUCCCUGCUGGUCGGUUCUGAUCGAACUAGAGGAAGGAGAGAGGGCAGAGGGCGCGCGGACGACCGUGGAGCAGCGGCGGUAGCUCCGGCUUCGGUGGGCAACGACGGCGACGAGAAGCGGCGACGGGCGGAGCUUCUUCGGCUUCUUCGGCUUCCAUGGUGCCGAGCAACCAAAGAGAAGAGGAAGAAAGGGGGUUCGUCG